AUACGGAGGGUGCAAGCGUUAAUCGGAAUUACUGGGCGUAAAGGGUACGUAGGCGGUUAAAUAAGUUGGAUGUGAAAGCCCCGGGCUCAACCUGGGAACUGCAUUCAAAACUGUUUGACUAGAGUGUAUGAGAGGUUGGCGGAAUUCCAGGUGUAGCAGUGAAAUGCGUAGAUAUCUGGAGGAACAUCAGUGGCGAAGGCGGCCAACUGGAAUAACACUGACGCUGAGGUACGAAAGCGUGGGGAGCGAACGGGAUUAGAUACCCCAGUAGUCC
rnacentral:rRNA from 1 species